rnacentral:rRNA from 1 species
AUUGAACGCUGGCGGCAUGCCUUACACAUGCAAGUCGAACGGCAGCACGGGAGCAAUCCUGGUGGCGAGUGGCGAACGGGUGAGUAAUAUAUCGGAACGUGCCCAGUCGUGGGGAUAACGUAGCGAAAGCUACGCUAAUACCGCAUACGAUCUAUGGAUGAAAGCGGGGGAUCGCAAGACCUCGCGCGAUUGGAGCGGCCGAUAUCAGAUUAGGUAGUUGGUGAGGUAAAGGCUCACCAAGCCGACGAUCUGUAGCUGGUCUGAGAGGAUGAUCAGCCACACUGGGACUGAGACACGGCCCCAGACUCCUACGGGAGGCAGCAGUGGGGAAUAUUGGACAAUGGGCGAAAGCCUGAUCCAGCAAUGCCGCGUGAGUGAUGAAGGCCUUAGGGUUGUAAAGCUCUUUUACCCGAGAUGAUAAUGACAGUAUCGGGAGAAUAAGC